UACUAUGCUUAACCAUAAACAUUGUUAUCAUGAAUUACCUUAACAAACCGCCCGAACACUACAAGCGCUAGCUUAAAAUACAAAGGACUUGGCGGUGCUCCAAACCCACCUAGAGGAGCCUGUUCUAUAACCGAUAAUCCGCGUUCAACCUCACCACUUCUUGCCCCUUCCGCCUAUAUACCGCCGUCGUCAGCUCACCCCAUGAGGGUUUAACAGUAAGCACAAUGACCUUCAUCCUCAAUACGUCAGGUCGAGGUGUAGCGAAUGAAGUGGGAAGAAAUGGGCUACAUUCUCUUUCUAGAACACACGAACAGAAGCAUGAAAAACUUCUAAAAGGUGGAUUUAGCAGUAAGUAAAAUUUAGAACAUUACACUGAAACCGGCUCUGGAGCGCGCACACACCGCCCGUCACUCUCCUCGAAAAAUCACCAUAAAUUCCAUAAAAAACUUUAAAAUAAAGAGGAGGCAAGUCGUAA
rnacentral:rRNA from 1 species